GGGCUGGCGACGGAAGUGACGUCAGAGCUCGCGCAUGCGUGAGGGACGAUGGCGGAGGUGGUGGCGAGACUCGCUCGGGAGCUGGAGGCCCCUGGAGGGACUGCAGCAGCCCUUGUUUAUGGCUUUGUACCUGCUGCACAACGACAUGUGAGUGGCUUCUCCCCACCUGUGGCUUUACACCCGGGUUUGUCACCAGCAGCUCGAGCUGCAGCCGCCAGAACGAGAGGAGGUGGUUGUGAAUAACACACGGUAUCUCUGGAAAAGAAUCCCUCCUGCCAUCAGAUCUAAACAAUGUCUGAAGUUCCUGAAGCAGCAGAAGCAGUGACAGCAACAGGCUGGAUCAAUCCACAGGCAGGACAGUCUUGUCCCGGGCCAGGAUUUCACUGGAGUGUCAUCAGCUGCUUGGGAAUUGCUGAAGGGACCAUGAGGACAGUCUGAACUCUGGCAUCUGAUUCCACAGCAAAGAGCACGUCCAGAAGCGCCUCCUCACCCUCCUGCAUGUCAUGAGUGUCUUCCAUGGCACCACCCGGCCUGUUUGGGAACGGGAACGGCUGCUGGGAGCUCUGGCAGCAGCACCUGGAGGCCAGGUAAAAAGAGCCAUGGGAUUGUUUUGGCUGCUGCUGGAUCUGGUUUUUUCCAGAUGUCCCUCUGAUUGAUCCAUUUCACAGUGGGUUCCUAGGGCACAUUGGUGGGUGAUUCCAAGAAUUUGAAAAUAGUGGGAAAGCAGUGGGACAACAUGUGAACUUGAUCCAUUUCUAGUAAUUCCAACCUUCUCCCACAACAUGGCUCUGGGGGAAACCUGGUUAAAGAGUAAGGAUGCAGAGGAACAAGUGAUCUAAAACCCCCUGGCUCUCUGUCAGAGCAAACCUGGUCAUUCCAGUGGAUCUCUCUUUGAAGCUGUGGGAUCAUAGGGUUUUCCAGGAAACAAUAACAAGGACAGAGGUGAGGUCAUAGGCUUCCAGUUCUAAUGAUUUGAUGGACAUAGGAAUGAUCCUUGUAUGUUUUACACUCCCUUUUUUUUUCCUGGAAUAAUUUUAAAAUGAUUCCUGUAACAAACCGUGUGAAUUUGGGAAUUUAAAUUGGAAAGUAAACGGUGCCAAAUGAAUGGCAGGGAGAGCUCACAGAAUCCUCAUGGAAUACUGGAGUGGUUUGGGUUGGAGGGGCCCUUAAGGAUCAUCUUGUUCAGGGAUACCUGCUGCUGUGCCAGGUGGCUUCCAGCCCCAUCCAGCCUAGCCUGGAAU